GGGACACGUGGUAUCCUGUCUGAAUAUGGGGGGACCAUCCUCCAAGGCUAAAUACUCCUGACUGACCGAUAGUGAACCAGUACCGUGAGGGAAAGGCGAAAAGAACCCCGGCGAGGGGAGUGAAAAAGAACCUGAAACCGUGUACGUACAAGCAGUGGGAGCACGCUUAGGCGUGUGACUGCGUACCUUUUGUAUAAUGGGUCAGCGACUUAUAUUCUGUAGCAAGGUUAACCGAAUAGGGGAGCCGAAGGGAAACCGAGUCUUAACUGGGCGUUAAGUUGCAGGGUAUAGACCCGAAACCCGGUGAUCUAGCCAUGGGCAGGUUGAAGGUUGGGUAACACUAACUGGAGGACCGAACCGACUAAUGUUGAAAAAUUAGCGGAUGACUUGUGGCUGGGGGUGAAAGGCCAAUCAAACCGGGAGAUAGCUGGUUCUCCCCGAAAGCUAUUUAGGUAGCGCCUCGUGAAUUCAUCUCCGGGGGUAGAGCACUGUUUCGGCAAGGGGGUCAUCCCGACUUACCAACCCGAUGCAAACUGCGAAUACCGGAGAAUGUUAUCACGGGAGACACACGGCGGGUGCUAACGUCCGUCGUGAAGAGGGAAACAACCCAGACCGCCAGCUAAGGUCCCAAAGUCAUGGUUAAGUGGGAAACGAUGUGGGAAGGCCCAGACAGCCAGGAUGUUGGCUUAGAAGCAGCCAUCAUUUAAAGAAAGCGUAAUAGCUCACUGGUCGAGUCGGCCUGCGCGGAAGAUGUAACGGGGCUAAACCAUGCACCGAAGCUGCGGCAGCGACACUAUGUGUUGUUGGGUAGGGGAGCGUUCUGUAAGCCUGUGAAGGUGUGCUGUGAGGCAUGCUGGAGGUAUCAGAAGUGCGAAUGCUGACAUAAGUAACGAUAAAGCGGGUGAAAAGCCCGCUCGCCGGAAGACCAAGGGUUCCUGUCCAACGUUAAUCGGGGCAGGGUGAGUCGACCCCUAAGGCGAGGCCGAAAGGCGUAGUCGAUGGGAAACAGGUUAAUAUUCCUGUACUUGGUGUUACUGCGAAGGGGGGACGGAGAAGGCUAUGUUGGCCGGGCGACGGUUGUCCCGGUUUAAGCGUGUAGGCUGGUUUUCCAGGCAAAUCCGGAAAAUCAAGGCUGAGGCGUGAUGACGAGGCACUACGGUGCUGAAGCAACAAAUGCCCUGCUUCCAGGAAAAGCCUCUAAGCAUCAGGUAACAUCAAAUCGUACCCCAAACCGACACAGGUGGUCAGGUAGAGAAUACCAAGGCGCUUGAGAGAACUCGGGUGAAGGAACUAGGCAAAAUGGUGCCGUAACUUCGGGAGAAGGCACGCUGAUAUGUAGGUGAAGUCCCUCGCGGAUGGAGCUGAAAUCAGUCGAAGAUACCAGCUGGCUGCAACUGUUUAUUAAAAACACAGCACUGUGCAAACACGAAAGUGGACGUAUACGGUGUGACGCCUGCCCGGUGCCGGAAGGUUAAUUGAUGGGGUCAGCGCAAGCGAAGCUCUUGAUCGAAGCCCCGGUAAACGGCGGCCGUAACUAUAACGGUCCUAAGGUAGCGAAAUUCCUUGUCGGGUAAGUUCCGACCUGCACGAAUGGCGUAAUGAUGGCCAGGCUGUCUCCACCCGAGACUCAGUGAAAUUGAACUCGCUGUGAAGAUGCAGUGUACCCGCGGCAAGACGGAAAGACCCCGUGAACCUUUACUAUAGCUUGACACUGAACAUUGAGCCUUGAUGUGUAGGAUAGGUGGGAGGCUUUGAAGUGUGG
rnacentral:rRNA from 1 species